GACGACGUAGUUUAGGUUUUUAAAAUAUGUGUUUUGCAGGUACAAGAUGGGUUUCUCGUUGUUG
rnacentral:tRNA from 1 species